GUUGGCUGCUGUGAGAAGAAGGAAGAGUCAGUGCCUGUAGGCGCUGCCUGUGAGAAACAUCAAGGAGAAAGGCAUGUGACAAUGUAUAAUCUACACCCAAAAGUCACAAAACUUUGGCAUCUUUAAUGAAACUGUUAGGAAGAUACAGCUAUCUGAUAGCUCUGACACUGCAGGAUUUGGAAGUCAAACCAGCUGUGGCAGGAGUUUUGACAGGACCAGAGCCAAAGAGUCGGCUGAGACACAACCCUAUCCUUUUCCAGUGACAGGACCUUCUGGAUCUUAGCAUGGGUGAGAGGAGCAAGAACCCAUGGGACCAAUGGAAAAUGGCCACUUUGAAAGCUUCUCCUGCUGCUCUGGGACUCUUGUCCUGUGAUGGGGCAGUGGGUGAUGAACAGACUGAUGCCCAAAGUACACCUAUUAGCUUAUGGCCAGGAAAACCAGGCAUGGAAAUCAAGUGACAAAAUUUCUGAUCUGGUAUGAUCUCCACACUGAAUCCCUCCUCAAAAGGCCUUUUGAGAACUGCAAAUGACUCCAUGUUUAGAAUUAGAAAAUUCUAGCAUAGUCAUGCUGUUGCAACACUGAUGGACAUAAAUUGUCAGAUAUUGC